rnacentral:rRNA from 1 species
UACGGAGGGUGCAAGCGUUACCCGGAAUCACUGGGCGUAAAGGGCGUGUAGGCGGGAGCUCAAGUCUGGUUUUAAAGACCGCAGCUCAACUGCGGGGUGGGACUGGAUACUGAGGACCUAGACAUCUGGAGAGAGAACCGGAAUUCCUGGUGUAGCGGUGGAAUGCGUAGAUACCAGGAGGAACACCAAUGGCGAAGGCAGGUUUUUGGACAGAAUGUGACGCUGAGGCGCGAAAGUGUGGGGAGCAAACCGG